GCUUCUGAUUUGAUUUUAUCUUGACAAAGAGUGGCGAACGGGUGAGUAACACGUGGGUAACCUACCUCUUAGCAGGGGAUAACAUUUGGAAACAAGUGCUAAUACCGUAUAAUACCAACAACCGCAUGGUUGUUGGUUGAAAGAUGGUUCUGCUAUCACUAAGAGAUGGACCCGCGGUGCAUUAGCUAGUUGGUAAGGUAACGGCUUACCAAGGCAAUGAUGCAUAGCCGAGUUGAGAGACUGAUCGGCCACAAUGGGACUGAGACACGGCCCAUACUCCUACGGGAGGCAGCAGUAGGGAAUCUUCCACAAUGGGCGCAAGCCUGAUGGAGCAACGCCGCGUGUGUGAUGAAGGGUUUCGGCUCGUAAAACACUGUUAUAAGAGAAGAACGGCACUGAGAGUAACUGUUCAGUGUGUGACGGUAUCUUACCAGAAAGGAACGGCUAAAUACGUGCCAGCAGCCGCGGUAAUACGUAUGUUCCAAGCGUUAUCCGGAUUUAUUGGGCGUAAAGCGAGCGCAGACGGUUAUUUAAGUCUGAAGUGAAAGCCCUCAGCUCAACUGAGGAAUGGCUUUGGAAACUGGAUGACUUGAGUGCAGUAGAGGAAAGUGGAACUCCAUGUGUAGCGGUGAAAUGCGUAGAUAUAUGGAAGAACACCAGUGGCGAAAGCGGCUUUCUGGACUGUAACUGACGUUGAGGCUCGAAAGUGUGGGUAGCAAACAGGAUUAGAUACCCUGGUAGUCACACGUAACGAUGAGUGCUAGAUGUUCGAGGUUUCGCCCUUGAGUGUCGCAGCUAACGCAUAAGCACUCGCUGGGAGUACGACGCA
rnacentral:rRNA from 1 species